AUUGAACGCUGGCGGCAGGCCUAACACAUGCAAGUCGAACGAGUGGCGGACGGGUGAGUAAUGUCUGGGAAACUGCCCGAUGGAGGGGGAUAACUACUGGAAACGGUAGCUAAUACCGCAUACCAUCGGAUGUGCCCAGAUGGGAUGAGCUGGUAGGUGGGGUAACGGCUCACCUAGGCGACGAUCCCUAGCUGGUCUGAGAGGAUGACCAGCGAACCGGGAACGGGGACACGGUCCAGACUCCUACGGGAGGCAGCAGUGGGGAAUAGUGCACAAUGGGCGCAAGCCUGAUGCAGCCAGGCCGCGUGUAUGAAAAAGGCCUUCGGGGUGUAAAGUACUUUCAGCGAGGAGGCGUUACUCGCAGAAGAAGCACCGGCUAACUCCGUGCCAGCAGCCGCGGUAAUUC
rnacentral:rRNA from 1 species